GACGAACGCUGGCGGCGUGCUUAACACAUGCAAGUCGAACGGAAAGGCCCUGCUUUCGUGGGGUGCUCGAGUGGCGAACGGGUGAGUAACACGUGAGUAACCUGCCCUUGACUUUGGGAUAACUUCAGGAAACUGGGGCUAAUACCGGAUAGGAGCUCCUGCUGCAUGGUGGGGGUUGGAAAGUUUCGGCGGUUGGGGAUGGACUCGCGGCUUAUCAGCUUGUUGGUGGGGUAGUGGCUUACCAAGGCUUUGACGGGUAGCCGGCCUGAGAGGGUGACCGGCCACAUUGGUACUGAGAUACGGCCCAGACGCCUACGGGAGGCAGCAGUGGGGAGUAUUGCACAGUGGGCGGAAGCCUGAUGCAGCAACGCCGCGUGCGGGAUGACGGCCUUCGGGUUGUGAACCGCUUUCGCCUGUGACGAAGCGUGAGUGACGGUAAUGGAUAAAGAAGCACCGGCUAACUACGUG
rnacentral:rRNA from 1 species